UACGGGGGGGGCAAGCGUUGUUCGGAAUUACUGGGCGUAAAGGGCGCGUAGGCGGCCUGCUAAGUCACACGUGAAAUCCCUCGGCUCAACCGGGGAACUGCGUGUGAUACUGGCGGGCUCGAAUUCGGGAGAGGGAUGUGGAAUUCCAGGUGUAGCGGUGAAAUGCGUAGAUAUCUGGAGGAACACCGGUGGCGAAGGCGGCAUCCUGGACCGACAUUGACGCUGAGGCGCGAAAGCUAGGGUAGCAAACGGGAUUAGAAACCCCCGUAGUCC
rnacentral:rRNA from 1 species